rnacentral:rRNA from 1 species
GAUGAACGCUGGCGGCGUGCUUAACACAUGCAAGUCGAACGGAAAGGCCCAAGCUUGCUUGGGUACUCGAGUGGCGAACGGGUGAGUAACACGUGGGUGAUCUGCCCUGCACUUCGGGAUAAGCCUGGGAAACUGGGUCUAAUACCGGAUAGGACGAUGGUUUGGAUGCCAUUGUGGAAAGUUUUUUCGGUGUGGGAUGAGCUCGCGGCCUAUCAGCUUGUUGGUGGGGUAAUGGCCUACCAAGGCGUCGACGGGUAGCCGGCCUGAGAGGGUGUACGGCCGCAUUGGAACUGUGCGACGGCCCAGACUCCUACGGGAGGCAGCAGGGGGGAAUGUUGCACAAUGGGCGCAAGCCUGAUGCAGCGACGCCGCGUGGGGGAUGACGGCCUUCGGGUUGUAAACUCCUUUCGCUAGGGACGAAGCGUUUUUGUGACGGUACCUGGAGAAGAAGCACCGGCUAACUACGUG